CUUGUCUCCCACUUCUUAGCUGCGCAUCCUGCAAAUAAACUCUGACUUUGCUGCAGAUACCUGCAGUCAAGGUUUGUCUUUCUGUGGCUGUGGGCACAUGAACCCUCCUUAAAUUUUGCAUCAUUGUGUUCCUAAGUCUCCUUAGGAACCUUAGUUUUCCUAAGCCACUCUAGUCUCAGCCCUGCCAGAAGUCAUAGCAUUUUCAUUUAAAAACUUAAAUAUAUGCUUGUUCUUUGUCCUAAUUGCUAGGAAUUCUUCCUUUGGAAAUAAACAGGGUUCUAAACCAUAUGUUCAAAACGAUCAUAUAUAUAAAUAUAAGACAGGAAGGACAUGCACCCAAAUGAUAACAGAGGUUAUCUCUGAGAGAUAGGGUUAUAGAUUAUUUUUUCCAUCAUGCUUGUGGGUUUGUGUGUGUGCUUUACACAUUUUCUGCACUUCACAAGUAUGUUUUUGUGGCUAGGCAGAAAUAACGUUAUAUUUAAAUAUGACCCAUUGUGCUUAGGCUAAGCACCUUACUGCCCUCUUUCCUUCUGGACAGCACUUUCCCAUGAGGCUUUCUGAUCCUUCAUGCAAACAGCCCCACAGAGACUCACCCCACAAGCCUCUCAGACAGGCAUACACAUGUCUGAAUCUACAGAGAGGCUGAGACAGGCCUGUUGGGGUGCAGUCUUCUCUGAGGGCACUGUAGGACGGGAUAUGAUGAUUUAAAUGCCCCUCCCCAACUUCCACCUCCUCUCCCAGGGGUUGUUCAGGGAAUCCACACCCUUGUGGAAGGAGUCGGAUGGACAGGAAUUGAGUCCCUGACUUUGCCAGGUACAAGCCAUGUGACUCUAGGCAAGUUAUUUCGUCUCUCUGCUCAAUCUUCACAUCCCUAAAAUGGAGAUAACACUGGAGUUAUAGCACAGUGAUCUUCUGGAGCCAGUAAGAAGAUGUAUGUGAAGUGUGGAUGCCAGUCUGGCAUGAGGUGACUCAGCAAGAGCCUGGGCUGACCCCCUGGGCUGAGACCACGUGGAGCAGAGGCCCAUCAACCAACAGCGAGCCCUACUGACAGAUGCAGUUGUGAGUCUGUCCUGGAUCAUCCAGCCCCAGCCAGGAUUGUAGAGACCAGCUAAACCAGUUCAGAUGGAACUGCCCAACUUAACUACAGAUCUGAGAGAAAUAAUACACAUUUAUGGUUGUGAGCCACUCACGCUCAGUGAGGUCUGUUGCAAAGCAACAGCUAAGUGAGACCCGGUAAAGACAGAUGGCUUUUAAUCAGGUGACCAGGUUUGGACCAGGUCCCUUGGGGACCCAGUUCUUUAAAGAUGCUCUGGAUUUCUUCAGAGGAAGCUGUUUGGGGCCAACCGAACUUCUUCCCUGAGAAGCCUCAGUGGGACUUCCCCUCACACAGGCUUGUCUUCCUGAUGCCCUCUUUUGCUAUUCUGAAACCAAAGGUGGUAAUGGAUAGCUUAUGAAUGAGGGCUAAAAUUCUGCCAAUUAAUUGCAUUGAAUGAAGUUUGUAAACAUUGUGAAUGGAAAUUUUAGCACUGUCAACAAGUAUUUACUGACUACCCACUACGUGGUAGAUAUUGUGGGAAUAUUUUUGAGUACAGCGGUAGGCUGCAAAACCAGCCCCAGCUCUCUAUCCAUCCCUGUAUCUGUGUUCCUUGCAAUGUGACUUUGCUGCUCCUGCCAUCAGGAGAUUGAAUAAGGGUGUUGCUGUGACUUGGUUUAGUCAAUACAACUAUGGAAGUGACACAGUCCAGGUUCUGACUUCGGCCUUGAGAGACCUGCAUGAUUCCAGUCUUGCUCAUGGAACCCUGCAGCUGCAUGUGAACCAGCCUGGACUAGCCUGCUGAUGUAUGAGGAACAUGUGGCCUCACGUUACCUCAGUUGAUAGUCACCUGCAAGAAGCAGAGCCUCUGGCUGCCUAGCAACUACCCCAGAAGCAUGAGCGGGUCCAGCUGAGUCCAGAAGAACUACCCAGACGAGCCCAACCUAAAAUCCUGACCCACAAGAAUCAUGAAAUAAACUAAUAUGUUUUAAAGCCACCCCUAAGUUCUGGGGUAUUCUAUCAUGCAGGAAAAAAAAAAAAAAAACCCAAACUAAAAAUAUACUGAUUGAUACAAGCACUUAGCACACGCCAAACUCUGGCUCUGGUUUAUUUGAAAGCAGGCAGAGUCUUGGGAGCAAAGACCUGUACAAAUGUGCCAUACUGGGUGUGAUGCAGAAAGUGCUGUGGAGAGCAAACUCACCAGGAAUAGAAGAGAUGGCAUGUGAGAUGGGGAGGAAUCAUGUCCCUGUGGAGUAGGCUGGUCCAGGAUGAAAUUCCUGAGAGAGGAGAAUGAGUGAACAUGGGAAGAACAUGGGAAAUUCCAGGCUGGGGCCAUUGGUGGUAUUUACCGAGCACUUAGCUUGUGCAUGGAAGCAUUACACAGGCCACCCCAGGUCUGCAUGAGGCCAAGCAGGGGAGAGAAGACAGCCAUAUUGCUGUAGCAGAAAUUAGUAGAGGCACCCCAUUACGUUAGUCCGUUUUCAGCUCUUACUCUUCUGCCCAUACAAUCAGUCUCCUACAGAUGUUUUGUUCCCCCUCUCUUGCUUAAUUGUACUCUGAAAAUGAUUGCUUUCUAGCCAAAGUUGUCCUAUGUACCUAAUGUUUACUUCUUGAAGACAACACUCCCUAACACUCCUUUUCUUUGUGAGUAUUCUUCAUGCCAGAAGGAAGGUCACACAAUGAUGACCUCAAGGACCACCAGAACCUGUUCUGGAACCACCUGCCGCCAGCCCUAAUGAUCUCAAUGUCUCUAGGAGGAAAGAAGAAUGCAAGACUACAUCAGUCCCGAUCCUUAUCGACAGCCUGUUUUCCACUCUGAAGCUACAAGACCAUUUCCUGUUUCCCAGGAAGUAAGGCACAAUCUUG
ensembl:lncRNA